UGGUCUCAAACCCCUGACCUCAGGUGAUCCACCUGCCUCAGCCUCCCAGAGUGUUGGGAUUACAAGUGUGAGCUACCAUUCCCGGCCUAUUAUUUUUAAGGAUUAAACAAUUUCUAAG